UACGUAGGGUGCAAGCGUUAAUCGGAAUUACUGGGCGUAAAGCGUGCGCAGGCGGUGAUGUAAGACAGAUGUGAAAUCCCCGGGCUCAACCUGGGAACUGCAUUUGUGACUGCAUCGCUGGAGUGCGGCAGAGGGGGAUGGAAUUCCGCGUGUAGCAGUGAAAUGCGUAGAUAUUGGGAGGAACACCGGUGGCGAAGGCGGCUACCUGGACCGGAACUGACGCUGAGGCGCGAAAGCUGGGGUAGCAAACAGG
rnacentral:rRNA from 1 species